rnacentral:rRNA from 1 species
GACGAACGCUGGCGGCGUGCUUAACACGUGCAAGUCGAACGGAAAGGCCCUGCUUUUGUGGGGUGCUCGAGUGGCGAACGGGUGAGUAACACGUGAGUAACCUGCCCUUGACUUUGGGAUAACUUCAGGAAACUGGGGCUAAUACCGGAUAGGAGCUCCUGCUGCAUGGUGGGGGUUGGACAGUUUCGGCGGUUGGGGAUGGACUCGCGGCUUAUCAGCUUGUUGGUGGGGUAGUGGCUUACCAAGGCUUUGACGGGUAGCCGGCCUGGGAGGGUGACCGGCCACAUUGGGACUGAGAUACGGCCCAGACUCCUACGGGAGGCAGCAGUGGGGAAUAUUGCACAAUGGGCGGAAGCCUGAUGCAGCAACGCCGCGUGCGGGAUGACGGCCUUCGGGUUGUAAACCGCUUUCGCCUGUGACGAAGCGUGAGUGACGGUAAUGGGUAAAGAAGCACCGGCUAACUACGUG